rnacentral:rRNA from 1 species
AAUGAACGUUGGCGGCAUGGAUUAGGCAUGCAAGUCGAGGGAGAACCCGCAAGGGGGACACCGGCGAACGGGGUAGGAAUACAUAGGUAACGUACCCUCAGGACGGGGAUAGCCAAGGGAAACUUUGGGUAAUACCCGAUGUGAUGGCGAGAUGUGAAUGCUUGUCAUCAAAGGUGAGAUUCCACCUGAGGAGCGGCUUAUGCAUCAUUAGCUUGUUGGCGGGGUAACGGCCCACCAAGGCUGCGAUGAUUAGGGGGUGUGAGAGCAUGGCCCCCACCACUGGCACUGAGACACUGGCCAGACACCUACGGGUGGCUGCAGUCGAGAAUCUUCGGCAAUGGGCGCAAGCCUGACUGAGCGAUGCCGCGUGCGGGAUGAAGGCCUUCGGGUUGUAAACCGCUGUCGGAGGGGAUGAAGUGUAUGGAAGCAAUCUUCUAUAUUUGACAGAGCCUCGGAGGAAGCACGGGCUAAGUUCGUGCCAGCCGCCGCCGUAA